rnacentral:misc_RNA from 1 species
GGAACUGACGCUAAAGGAAACCUCCUUGUUGAUCUCAAUAAGUUCACUGGUAUGACUCACAUUAAUAAUCUUUUUGAACUUUCUCUAAGAAUUUUUUUUAAAGAAUGAGGUUUUGCUAAGGCAUGCAUUGUCUGCUGAACCUUUGUUAAUUUUCUUGUCCUUUUCCUUUUCUUUCUCUGGUUAUCUGGGUGAGCAUAGCUCUAAUUUAGGUUUUGGUUUUUCUGGCUGAUUUUUUGCCUGCUUCCUAAUUACCUACCUUUCUUUGAGAACCUGGAGCAUAAAAUUAGCUGGUUUGAAAAAUUUCAAUCAUAUGCUGAAUAAGUGUAUGCAUGAAGAAGAUGUGGUGUCUAUAAUUCCUGUAAAUUGCAUGAACUCACUUCUAGCUAGGCCUGUUCACCAGCUGGAUUGGAUAAAAUUUAAUUCCUAUCCGACCCACACCAACAUAAAUAAGUGAGCGGGGAGUUAACAAUUCAACCCGACCAACCCAACUGAAGAAAUAGUUAGGUUGGUUGGUCAGGUUAAAUUUUAUCCAGCCAUACUUCAUUAUACAUACAUAUAUA